CCUACGGGCGACAGCAGUGGGGAAUAUUGGACAAUGGGGGGAACCCUGAUCCAGCGACGCCGCGUGAGUGAAGAAGUAUUUCGGUAUGUAAAGCUCUAUCAGCAGGGAAGAAAGAAAUGACGGUACCUGACUAAGAAGCCCCGGCUAACUACGUGCCAGCAGCCGCGGUAAUACGUAGGGGGCAAGCGUUAUCCGGAUUUACUGGGUGUAAAGGGAGCGUAGACGGCGAUGCAAGUCUGAAGUGAAAGGCGGGGGCCCAACCCCCGGACUGCUUUGGAAACUGUAUGGCUGGAGUGCAGGAGAGGUAAGUGGAAUUCCUAGUGUAGCGGUGAAAUGCGUAGAUAUUAGGAGGAACACCAGUGGCGAAGGCGGCUUUCUGGACGAAAACUGACGCUGAGGUACGAAAGCGUGGGGAGCAAACAGGAUUAGAUACCCCUGUAGUC
rnacentral:rRNA from 1 species